CUAAGUACCCGGAGGAAGAGAAAACAAUAGUGAUUUCGUUAGUAGCGGCGAGCGAACGCGAAUUAGCCCAAACCAGAUUUGUUACGGCAAAUCUGGGGUUGUAGGACCACGACAUUUGAAACACAACGAAUUAGAAUCCUUUGGAAAGAGGAGCCAUAGACGGUGAUAGCCCGGUAUAAGUAAGGCGUGCGUAGAUAGUGGUAUCCUGAGUAGUGCGGGGCACGUGAAACCCUGUAUGAAUCUGCCGGGACCAUCCGGUAAGGCUAAAUACUCCUGAGAGACCGAUAGUGAACAAGUACCGUGAGGGAAAGGUGAAAAGCACCCCGAUGAGGG
rnacentral:rRNA from 1 species